rnacentral:rRNA from 1 species
CUACGGGCGGCAGCAGUUAGGGAUUUUUUGCAAUGCGCGAAAGCGUGACAAAGCGAGCCAGAGUGUUUCUCGUAUAGAGAAACUUUUGUCAGCUGUAAAAAGGCUGACGAAUAAGGAGUGGGUAAGACUGGUGCCAGCCGCCGCGGUAAUACCAGCAGUCCAAGUCGUAGCCACAAUUAUUGGGUCUAAAACAUCCGUAGCUUGUUUCAUAAGUCUCUUGUGAAAUUUUGCCUCUUAAGGGUAAAGCGGGCAAGAGAUACUGUGUUGCUAGAGACUGGAGGAUGUAAGGAGUAUAGUUGAGGUAGUGGUAAAAUACGUUAAUCUCAAUUAGACUAACAACAGCGAAGGCAUCUUACAACUACAGUUCUGACAGUGAGGGAUGAAGGCUAGGGGCGCAAAACGGAUUAGAUACCCCCGUAGUC